ACACGUAAACAACCUGCCUUCAGGAUGGGGACAACAGACGGAAACGACUGCUAAUACCGAAUAAGUUCCAAGAGCCGCAUGGCCCAUGGAAGAAAAGGUGGCCUCUACCUGUAAGCUAUCGCCUGAAGAGGGGUUUGCGUCUGAUUAGCUGGUUGGAGGGGUAACGGCCCACCAAGGCGACGAUCAGUAGCCGGUCUGAGAGGAUGAACGGCCACACUGGAACUGAGACACGGUCCAGACUCCUACGGGAGCAGCAUG
rnacentral:rRNA from 1 species